CAGAGAUGGUUCUUUCAGUUCGGCUGGAUCGCACACAGGUGCUGCAUGGCUGUCGUCAGCUCGUGUCGUGAGAUGUUCGGUUAAGUCCGGCAACGAGCGCAACCCACACUCUUAGUUGCCAUCAUUCAGUUGGGCACUCUAGGAGAACUGCCGGUGAUAAGCCGGAGGAAGGUGUGGAUGACGUCAAGUCCUCAUGGCCCUUACGGGUUGGGCUACACACGUGCUACAAUGGUGGUGACAAUGGGUUAAUCCCAAAAAGCCAUCUCAGUUCGGAUUGGGGUCUGCAACUCGACCCCAUGAAGUCGGAAUCGCUAGUAAUCGCGUAACAGCAUGACGCGGUGAAUACGUUCCCGGGCCUUGUACACACCGCCCGUCACACCAUGGGAAUUGGGCUACCCGAAGGCGGUGCGCCAACCAGCAAUGGAGGCAGCCGACCACGGAGGCUCAGUGAUCUGGGGUGAAGGUAACAAGGUAACAAUCU
rnacentral:rRNA from 1 species